UGAAGACAGGUUCCAAAAGGCAGAUGCUUCUGCAUCACAACUGUCAGGAGGCGACAAGAGAGUAGCACCUCCCUCGGAGCCUUACAGCCAGUUAGCAGACACACGUGGUUGGAAGUUGACUCCACAAAUCUGUGUUUGGUUUGAAUACUGGCAGCGGUACAUUCAAGACAAAGACAACUAACAAAAUCGCUUCGGAAGCUAGUUUUUCAUCUAGUGAAGGAAGUCGUUUGUCAAGGUAAAGUCGUGAAAGCCUGU